rnacentral:rRNA from 1 species
AUGACAUCAUCUCAGGUAGUUCUGAGAAGAGCGCCAGUUGGUUACAUCUAUUGGACAUCUCUCGGAGAGGCAGGGGGACAAUUGAGAGAUUCACAUGGCACAUUGGAUAUCCAAUCAUCUGAAGAAUGUACCCCCAAAUCAAAGGGGAAUUUUAUUUUGGGUGGAACUCCAUACUCAUUGCCUGUAUUGUGUCCAUUGUCAGGUUUUCUUGUAUAUGGAUCUUCGUCCCUAUUUCCAAUACCUUCAUUUGUGUCUAUAACCCAAUCAACUGCAUACCCGUUGCACUGUUCAGGGUGUUCAAACUCUAGCUCUGGCGAGGCUUCAUUCAUGCUAUUGAUUAUUCCAGGGGCUAUGCUGAAAAGCACGGCAUCUGAUGACCUCUGGAGGGUCUGUGUUUCAAAUGGAAAGAUGAUUGGACCACUAUGGAUGUCUUUGUCUGAUAUAUGA